AACGAACGCUGGCGGCAGGCUUAACACAUGCAAGUCGAACGAGAUCUUCGGAUCUAGUGGCAGACGGGUGAGGAACACGUGGGAACAUCCCUUUCAGUUCGGAAUAACGUUGGGAAACUAACGCUAAUACCGGAUACGUCCUUCGGGAGAAAGAUUUAUCGCUGAAAGAUUGGCCCGCGUCUGAUUAGCUAGUUGGUGAGGUAACGGCUCACCAAGGCUACGAUCAGUAGCUGAUCUGAGAGGAUGAUCAGCCACAUUGGGACUGAGACACGGCCCAAACUCCUACGGGAGGCAGCAGUGGGGAAUAUUGGACAAUGGGCGCAAGCCUGAUCCAGCCAUGCCGCGUGAGUGAUGACGGCCUUUGGGUUGUAAAGCUCUUUUAAGAGGGAAGAGCAGAAGACUGUACCUCUAGAAUAAGCCACGGCUAACUACGUGCCAGCAGCCGCGGUAA
rnacentral:rRNA from 1 species